AGCCCAUGGUGAGGGCACCUUCUCAAUAGAUCCUUGUAUCUCUCCCAUGUAUCAUAGAGUGUUUCUGAAUCCAUCUAUACAGAAGAAGAAAUAUCAUUCCUUCGUUU
rfam:Gossypium arboreum cultivar AKA8401 contig_4454_3, whole genome shotgun sequence.